ACCUCUGUUGCUUUGGCGGGCCGCGGUCUUCCGCGGCCGCCCCCCGAUUUUGGGGGGUGGCUAGUGCCCGCCAGAGGACUAUCAAACUCCAGUCAGUAAACGUUGCAGUCUGAAAAAAAUAUUAAAUAAACUAAAACUUUCAACAACGGAUCUCUUGGUUCUGGCAUCGAUGAAGAACGCAGCGAAAUGCGAUAAGUAAUGUGAAUUGCAGAAUUCAGUGAAUCAUCGAAUCUUUGAACGCACAUUGCGCCCCUUGGUAUUCCGGGGGGCAUGCCUGUUCGAGCGUCAUUUCAACCCUCAAGCUCUGCUUGGUAUUGGGCACCGUCCUUUGCGGGCGCGCCUCAAAGACCUCGGCGGUGGCGUCUUGCCUCAAGCGUAGUAGAAUACACCUCGCUUCGGAGCGUAAGGCGUCGCCCGCCGGACGAACCUUCUGAACUUUUCUCAAGGUUGACCUCGGAUCAGGUAGGGAUACCCGCUGAACUUAAGCAUAUCUAAACCGGGGGAGGAAAAAUUACGAGUUGAUGCCGGCUCCUCCCGAUCCUCCACCAUUGUAUACAUACCUCUGUUGCUUUGGCGGGCCCCGGCUCUUCCGCGGCGCGCGAUGUUGGGGGGUGGCUAGUGCCCGCCAGAGGACUAUCAAACUCGUCUUAAACGUUGCAUCUGAAAAAAAUAUUAAAUAAACUAAAACUUUCAACAACGGAUCUCUGGGUUCUGGCAUCGAUAAAAACGCAGCGCAGUGCGAUAGUAAUGUGAAUUGCAGAAAUCAGUGAAUCAUCGAAUCUUGAACGCACAUUGCGCCCUUGGUAUUCGGGGGC
rnacentral:sRNA from 1 species